rnacentral:rRNA from 1 species
CAGAUCCUACGGGAGGCAGCAGUAGGGAAUCUUCCGCAAUGGGCGAAAGCCUGACGGAGCAACGCCGCGUGAGUGAUGAAGGUCUUCGGAUCGUAAAACUCUGUUAUUAGGGAAGAACAUAUGUGUAAGUAACUGUGCACAUCUUGACGGUACCUAAUCAGAAAGCCACGGCUAACUACGUGCCAGCAGCCGCGGUAAUACGUAGGUGGCAAGCGUUAUCCUGAAUUAUUGGUCGUAAAGCGCGCGUAGGCGGUUUUUUAAGUCUGAUGUGAAAGCCCACGGCAUCAACCUGGGAACUGCAUUCGAAACUGGCAGGCUGGAGUCUUGCAGCGGGGGAUAGAGUUCCAGGUUUGGCGCGGAAGUCCGUAGGACGCUGGAGGAAUGCCGGUGGC